CAGUCGCCGCGGGAAUACGAAGGGUGCAAGCGUUAAUCGGAAUUACUGGGCGUAAAGCGUGCGUAGGCGGUUUGUUAAGUCUGUUGUGAAAUCCCCGGGCUCAACCUGGGAAUGGCAAUGGAUACUGGCAAGCUAGAGUGUGUCAGAGGAUGGUGGAAUUCCCGGUGUAGCGGUGAAAUGCGUAGAGAUCGGGAGGAACAUCAGUGGCGAAGGCGGCCAUCUGGGACAACACUGACGCUGAGGCACGAAAGCGUAGGGAGCAAACAGGAUUAGAGACCCCGGUAGUCCCUGUCUCUUAUAC
rnacentral:rRNA from 1 species